AUACGGAGGGUGCGAGCGUUAAUCGGAAUUACUGGGCGUAAAGCGCGCGUAGGCGGUUAGAUAAGUCUGAUGUGAAAGCCCUGGGCUCAACCUGGGAAUGGCAUUGGAUACUGUUUAACUAGAGUGCAGGAGAGGAGAGUGGAAUUCUCGGUGUAGCGGUGAAAUGCGUAGAUAUCGGGAGGAACACCAGUGGCGAAGGCGGCUCUCUGGACUGACACUGACGCUGAGGUGCGAAAGCGCGGGUAGCGAACAGGAUUAGAUACCCCGGUAGUCC
rnacentral:rRNA from 1 species